UGCAAGUCGAGGGGUAUAGGAAGCUUGCUUUCUAGAGACCGGCGCACGGGUGCGUAACGCGUAUGCAAUCUACCUUUUGCAGAGGGAUAGCCCAGAGAAAUUUGGAUUAAUACCUCAUAGUAUACAGACUCGGCAUCGAGAUUGUAUUAAAGUCACAACGGCAAAAGAUGAGCAUGCGUCCCAUUAGCUAGUUGGUAAGGUAACGGCUUACCAAGGCAACGAUGGGUAGGGGUCCUGAGAGGGAGAUCCCCCACACUGGUACUGAGACACGGACCAGACUCCUACGGGAGGCAGCAGUGAGGAAUAUUGGACAAUGGGCGCAAGCCUGAUCCAGCCAUGCCGCGUGCAGGAUGACGGUCCUAUGGAUUGUAAACUGCUUUUAUACGAGAAGAAACACUCCGACGUGUCGGAGCUUGACGGUAUCGUAAGAAUAAGGAUCGGCUAACUCCGUGCCAGCAGCCGCGGUAAUACGGAGGAUCCAAGCGUUAUCCGGAAUCAUUGGGUUUAAAGGGUCCGUAGGCGGUUUAAUAAGUCAGUGGUGAAAGCCCAUCGCUCAACGGUGGAACGGCCAUUGAUACUGUUAAACUUGAAUUAUUAGGAAGUAACUAGAAUAUGUAGUGUAGCGGUGAAAUGCUUAGAGAUUACAUGGAAUACCAAUUGCGAAGGCAGGUUACUACUAAUGGAUUGACGCUGAUGGACGAAAGCGUGGGUAGCGAACAGGAUUAGAUACCCUGGUAGUCCACGCCGUAAACGAUGGAUACUAGCUGUUGGAAGCAAUUUCAGUGGCUAAGCGAAAGUGAUAAGUAUCCCACCUGGGGAGUACGUUCGCAAGAAUGAAACUCAAAGGAAUUGACGGGGGCCCGCACAAGCGGUGGAGCAUGUGGUUUAAUUCGAUGAUACGCGAGGAACCUUACCAAGGCUUAAAUGUAGAUUGACCGGUUUGGAAACAGACUUUUCGCAAGACAAUUUACAAG
rnacentral:rRNA from 1 species